AUCUUAUCCAGAGAGGUGGAGGGACUGGCCCUAUGAAACCUCGGCAACAGGUUCUUUUGCAGAACACUGUGCCAAUUCCAUCAGAAUCAAUUCUGAACAGAUAAGAU
rfam:Paenisporosarcina sp. HGH0030 genomic scaffold acAqH-supercont1.1, whole genome shotgun sequence.